rnacentral:rRNA from 1 species
GAUGAACGCUGGCGGCGUGCCUAAUACAUGCAAGUCGAGCGAACAGACGAGGAGCUUGCUCCUCUGACGUUAGCGGCGGACGGGUGAGUAACACGUGGAUAACCUACCUAUAAGACUGGGAUAACUUCGGGAAACCGGAGCUAAUACCGGAUAAUAUAUUGAACCGCAUGGUUCAAUAGUGAAAGACGGUUUUGCUGUCACUUAUAGAUGGAUCCGCGCCGCAUUAGCUAGUUGGUAAGGUAACGGCUUACCAAGGCGACGAUGCGUAGCCGACCUGAGAGGGUGAUCGGCCACACUGGAACUGAGACACGGUCCAGACUCCUACGGGAGGCAGCAGUAGGGAAUCUUCCGCAAUGGGCGAAAGCCUGACGGAGCAACGCCGCGUGAGUGAUGAAGGUCUUCGGAUCGUAAAACUCUGUUAUUAGGGAAGAACAAAUGUGUAAGAAACUAUGCACGUCUUGACGGUACCUAAUCAGAAAGCCACGGCUAACUACGG